ACGAGGCACGGUGGUGCAUGCCUGUAAUCCCAGCGGCUUGGGAGGUUGAGACAGGAGGAUCGUGGGGUCAAAGCCAGCCUCAGCAAUGUGAGGCGCUAAGCAACUCAGUGAGACCCUGUCUCUA
rnacentral:sRNA from 1 species